rnacentral:rRNA from 1 species
GUAAGGAAUAUUGGUCAAUGGGCGGAAGCCUGAACCAGCCAUGCCGCGUGCAGGAAGACGGCCCUACGGGUUGUAAACUGCUUUUGUACGGGAAUAAACCUUGAUACGUGUAUCAAGCUGAAUGUACCGUAAGAAUAAGGAUCGGCUAACUCCGUGCCAGCAGCCGCGGUAAUACGGAGGAUCCGAGCGUUAUCCGGAUUUAUUGGGUUUAAAGGGUGCGUAGGCGGCUUUUUAAGUCAGGGGUGAAAGACGGCAGCUCAACUGUCGCAGUGCCUUUGAUACUGAAGAGCUUGAAUGCACUUGAAGUAGGCGGAAUGUGACAAGUAGCGGUGAAAUGCAUAGAUAUGUCACAGAACACCAAUUGCGAAGGCAGCUUACUAAAGUGUGAUUGACGCUGAGGCACGAAAGCGUGGGGAUCAAACAGGAUUAGAAACCCUAGUAGUCC